GUACCUGCAUGGAACGAGACAGAAAUGACGGAAUCCCUUUCAGAGAUCCGGUGGAUGGUGAAAACCGGAAGGCGCUGUCGUUUUACUCACUCGCGAGCUUCCCGGCCGAACAGAGUAGGCCUGGCGGAUGUCCCCGUUAUGGAUAGGCCCGACGCAAUGAAAACCGUUCAUUGAUGCGGCAGAGUGAUAAGUACAAGGUGGUACCGCGCAAGGAUGCGCCCUUCAG
rnacentral:ncRNA from 1 species